rnacentral:lncRNA from 1 species
GUCCGGGCGAGGGUCAGGGCAGACGGGGCGGGCGGGGCCCUUAGAAGUUCCGCCCAGAAGCUCCUGCUCAGUAACUACAGACGCGAAGCUCAGCCUCUCGGUUUGGGAAUUUUCUUGGAGGCCGAGGCCCUGCGCCUCUGUCUGCACCCAAGGCGACCGCCCAGCUUACCCCCGGCUCUUCUGAGCACAGGGAGGCCUCCCAGCAAAGCCUGAACCCUCUAAGUUUAGCUGCAGGCUUCGAACCCCGACCGUCCCCGCCGAGCCUUGGGCUGCUGAGGUGGGGAUGAACUGGGCGAAAGACACUUGGGAGUUAGGAAGAAACAAACAAGCAGGGAAGUGACCAGGAGACAAGAUGGGCGUCCACAGAAUGAAUACAGGAAUGUCUGUCUGCCUGUCUGUGUAUACUCUGUGAAGGAAUAUACCAACAUUACAUGCUGACCCAAGGAUAGCCAGUACGCCUUCUGCAAGAGGAAAGUUUGUGUUUCAAAAUCCAUCAAGUGAAAGAGAACAGAAAAAUUCAGAGGGCGUCAUUCACGGAAGGAUUCAAAGCUUUUAGAUAAAGUGUACAACGUGGAGGGUGAAAGAAUGAGCUGGAAGCAGGCAUCAUAAAGCACCAUCGUACUGCAAAGAGCAGGAUUUAAAAGCUAGCACCACCACUUGCUAGCUAGGGAAACUUGGGUAUCAUUUGAGGAUAUGCUGCAGCAAAAUGAGUGAAUAAACAAGAAAGUCAAAGACAUGGGAUUGAGGAAACAGUGACUUCAGCCCAAGAUUGGAAUGACAGGGAGCCCCAGGCCACUGGGCAGCAGCACAGACAGCAAUCUGUUCAGACUGCAGCAGAACAGCAAACUCCUGGAGCAGUAUCAAGAGGUGGCGGGGGUUCCAAGAUGGCCGAAUAGGACCAGCUCCAGUCUACAGCUCCCAGUAUGAGCGACACAGAAGACGGGUGACUUCUGCAUUUCCAACUGAGGUACCGCAUUCAUCUCACUGGGGCUUGUCAGACACUGGGUGCAGCCCACAGAGUGUGAGCCGAAGCAGGGCGAGGCAUCGCCUCACCUGGGAAGCACAAGGGGUCAGGAAUUCCCUUUACUAGCCAAGGGAAGCUGUGGCAGAUGGUACCUGGAAAAUCGGGACACUCCCACCCUAAUAUUGCGCUUUUCCAACAGCCUUAACAAACAGCACACCAGGAGAUUAUAUCCCGCGCCUGGCUCAGAGGGUCCCAUGCCCACGGAGCCUCGCUCAUUGCUAGCACAGCAGUCUGAGAUCAAACUGCAAGGCGGCAGUGAGGCUGGGGGAGGGGCAUCCGCCAUUGCUAAGGCUUGAGUAGGUAAACAAAGCGGCCUGGAAGCUCGAACUGGGUGGAGCCCACCACAGCUCAAGGAGGCCUGCCUGCCUCUGUAGACUCCACCUCUGGGGGCAGGGCAUAGCUGAACAAAAGGCAGCAGAAACUUCUGCAGAAUUAAACAUCCCUGUCUGACAGCUUUGAAGACAGUAGUGGUUCUCCCAGCACAGUUUGAGAUCUGAGAACAGACAGACUACCUCCUCAAGUGGACCCCUGACCCCUGAGUAGCCUAACUGGUAGGCACCUCCCAGUAGGGGCCGACUGACACCUCAUAUGGCUGGGUGCCCCUCUGAGACAAAGCUUCCAGAGGAAGGAUCAGGCAGCAACAUUGGCCAUUCUGCAAUAUUUGCUGUUCUGCAGCCUCCACUGGUGAUACUCAGGCAAACAAGGUCUGGAGUGGACCUACAGCAAACUCCAACAGACCUGUAGCUGAAGGUCCUGUUAGAAGGAAAACUAACAAACAGAAAGGACAUCCACACCAAAACCCCAUCUGUAUGUCACCAUCAUCAAAGACCAAAGGUAGAUAAAACCAUAAAGAUGGGGAGAAACUAGAGCAGAAAAGCUGAAAAUUCUAAAAAUCAGAGCACCUAUUCUCCUCCAAAGUAACGCAGCUCCUCGCCAGCAGCAGAACAAAGCUGGACAGAGAACAACUUUGACAAGUUGAGAGAAGAAGGCUUCAAACGAUCAGUAAUAACAAACUUCUCCGAGCUAAAGGAGGAUGUUCGAACCCAUCGCAAAAAAGCUAAAAACAUGCAAAAAAGAGUAGACGAAUGGCUAACUACAAUAAACAGCAUACAGAAGACCUCAGGUACCCAAUGGAGCUGAAAACCAUGGCACGAGAACUAUAUGACACAUGCACAAGCUUCAGUAGCCGAUUUGAUCAAGUGGAAGAAAGGGUAUCAGUGAUUGUAGAUCAAAUGAAUGAAAUGAAGUGAGAAGAGUUUAGAGAAAAAAGAGUAAAAAGAAAUGAACGAAGCCUCUGAGAAAUAUGAGACUAUGUGAAGAGACCAAAUCUACGUUUGACUGGUAUACCUGAAAGUGAUGGGGAGAAUGGAACCAAGUUGGAAAACACUCUUCAGGGUAUUAUCCAGGAGAACUUCCCCAAC